rnacentral:rRNA from 1 species
GCUCCUUGAAUAAAAAGUAUAAGGAGUCGUACCUGCCCGGUGGGCUACGGCCUAAACGGCGGCAGCUAAAACUGCCCUAAGGUAGCGCAAUAAAUCGUCCUUUAAUUGGGGAAAAGUAUGAAUGGUUUGACGUGGAGCAACUGUCUCAAUUAUAUAGAGUGAAGUUUCCUUUUAAGUGAAAAGGCUUAAAUAUUUGUAAAAGAAGAGAAGACCCUAUCGAGCUUGAUUAAGUUGGGUAAUUAGAUCAGCUUAUAAAUUAUCGUAUUUGCAACGCGAUUUUUAGUUAAUUGGUUAUUUAUUAUAUUUUAACAUGUGUUAAAAUAUCAGACAAUAGAGAUUAUUCUGAGAGGUGUUUCAAUAUUUAUUUGUUAAUCUAGUCAAGCUGAAGUUUUGUUGGGGCAACAAAGAGCUAAAAAGAACGCUCUUUAGUUUAAAUGUAGAUCCUAUACGAUAGAAAAAGAGCAAAAGCUACCGUAGGGAUAACAGCGUAAUUUUUCUUUCGAGACCUUAUUGGAAGAAGAGUUUGCGACAUCGAUGUUGAAUUAGGGGUAUCUUUCGGUGCAGCCGCUGUGAGGAUGGGACUGUUCGUCCUGUUGUUCCCU